rnacentral:rRNA from 1 species
AGUCUAACGGAGCAACGCCGCGUGAGUGAUGAAGGCUUUCGGGUCGUAAAACUCUGUUGUUAGGGAAGAACAAGUGCUAGUUGAAUAAGCUGGCACCUUGACGGUACCUAAUCAGAAAGCCACGGCUAACUACGUGCCAGCAGCCGCGGUAAUACGUAGGUGGCAAGCGUUAUCCGGAAUUAUUGGGCGUAAAGCGCGCGCAGGUGGUUUCUUAAGUCUGAUGUGAAUCCCCGGCUCAACCGUGGAGGGGCAUUGGAAACUGGGAAACUUGAGUGCGGAAGAGGAAAGUGGAAUUCCAUGUGUAGCGGUGAAAUGCGUAGAGAUAUGGAGGAACAAAAUGGCCAAAGCCACUUUCUGGUCUGUAAAUGACACUGAGGCGCGAAAGCGUGGGGAGCAAACAGGAUUAGAUACCCUGGUAGUCCACGCCGUAAACGAUGAGUGCUAAGUGUAAGAGGGUUUCCGCCCUUUAGUGCUGAAGUUAACGCAUUAAGCACUCCGCCUGGGGAGUACGGCCGCAAGGCUGAAACUCAAAGGAAUCC